CAGACCAACAGCAGCGGCGGCGGCGGCGGCAGCAGCAGCAGCAGCAGCAUUAGCAUUAGCAGCAGCAGCUUCUCUCAAUGCUGAGUAUUGAAUACAGAUAAUCAUGAGGCCCAAGACCCUAAGGAACAGUGCAGCCAGGAGUCGGAAGGAGCCUGGGUUUCUGAAUCAUCACAUGGAGGGGAGCUAUCUUCAGCUGGGAGAGCUGUCUUCAGUUGGAUUCUGGACGGAGUCUCACUCUGUCACCCAGGCUGGAGUGCAGUGGCGCAAUUUCGGCUCACUGCAACCUCCGCCUCCCAGAUUCAAGCAAUUCUCUCUGCCUCAGCCUCCCAAGUAGCUGGGAUUACAGGAGGAAGAAAGGGAGCUGGUUAGGAAGCAAACUUGAGUUUCCCAUGCUCUGUGGCUGAGCAAGUCACUUCACCAUUCUCAGGAUGGAAGUGGGGAUGGAGGUGGCAUCAGCCUCAUUUGAACCACAUGGACUAAGAGGGGCUAUGGGGGUAUUCCCCAAAGGAAGACUGAGGGGCGUUACUAGAAAAUGGGAGAAUGGAAGCAGAGUGGGCAAAACCAACAGAUGUUCCCUAUAGUAAAUAAAAAACAUGGACAAUUAUUAGAGAGCAAGUACUUAUAACAUAUAUGGCACAUGGGGUUGUGACUCACCAGUGUGUUAGCACAAUAUGGUCAAAAACCUCUGAUCCAAUUCAACCUACUCAUCUUAACGAUUUUAUCAGCAUUUAAUAAGUUUGUUUUGGCCAUAAUGUGUUAUAGUUUUGUUUGUGGUUUUGACACCUCAUUAGAGGUUUCAUCAGUGUAAGGAGCCAACCUAAGAGCUCUUCUCACAAGUUUCCCAAGAGAGAAAUUGCCCCUCCAAAUGUGAGGAGUCCCACUUUAUAUAGAUAGCAUCCACACUUCUUGCAGUGGAAAACAAACCUUAUAAAAUGUAAUACGUUUGGUUUCCUAACUUUUUCAUGACCCGGGGUGGUAGAAGGAAGUGCAAGUUUUAUCACUUGGAUUUAGAGACAAGGAAAUUGAAAUGGAGAGAGAAUUGGGCUCACAUGCAGGCAGCAUGUCUAGCUGCCUCCAUAGUGUGAUCUGAGGCACCCCACGAGGCCUAUGAUUACUGUAAACCUCUAAAAUAAAUAAAAAAUAAAUAAAACAAU
rnacentral:antisense_RNA from 1 species